rnacentral:rRNA from 2 species
AAUCAAGUGCCUUAAGGGUGUUCGGUGGAUGCCUUGGCGCUGAGAGGCGAUGAAGGACGUGCUACGCUGCGAUAAGCCGUGGGGAGCUGCGAAGAAGCUUUGAUCCAUGGAUUUCCGAAUGGGGAAACCCACCUUCGAUAGCCGGAACUCCAAGACCUUUGUCGAAAGACAUCGGUGUGGGGUUUGAUCAGAAAUGAGAGAUGCCUGGACCUUUAGAUUUCGAUCGAAGAGGUUUUGGAUUUCCGGUUAUCAAGAGAAGGUAUGAGACUUCUGAAUACAUAGGAGGUUUCAAGCAAACCCAGGGAACUGAAACAUCUAAGUACCUGGAGGAAAGGACAUCAACAGAGACUCCGUUAGUAGUGGCGAGCGAACGCGGACCAGGCC